CAGAUAAUAUAAAAGCUGCCGAAGACAGCAGGUGUCCGCGGAACACAGAUUCCAAGGACGUAAGUAUAUCGCCUGCCGAGGAAGAGUAUAUGAUGACUUUUCGCCCUCACUGUCUUGCAGUGGGGGCUUUUCGGUUUGUUAA
rfam:Acetivibrio ethanolgignens strain ACET-33324 ACET-33324.Scaf7, whole genome shotgun sequence.